AGGGAUCAUUAUCGAGUUUACAACUCCCAAACCCCUGUGAACCAUACCUAUCGUUGCUUCGGCGGGACCGCUUCGGACCAAGCCCCGUUUACGGGGAUCCAACAGCGUUUCAACCCGCCGGGGGACCCAAACUCUUGUCUUUAUGUGGUAUUUUCUGAGUAAAACAAAAAUAAAUCAAAACUUUUAACAACGGAUCUCUUGGUUCUGGCAUCGAUGAAGAACGCAGCGAAAUGCGAUAAGUAAUGUGAAUUGCAGAAUUCAGUGAAUCAUCGAAUCUUUGAACGCACAUUGCGCCCGCUAGUAUUCUGGCGGGCAUGCCUGUUCGAGCGUCAUUUCAACCCUCAAGCCCCCGGGCUUGGUGUUGGGGAUCGGCCGCCUCCCCGGCGGCCGUCCCCGAAAUCUAGUGGCGGUCUCGCUGUAGCCUCCUCUGCGUAGUAGCACACCUCGCACCGGAACGCAGCUUGGCCACGCCGUUAAACCCCCCACUUCUGAAGGUUGACCUCGGAUCAGGUAGGAAUACCCGCUGAACUUAA
rnacentral:rRNA from 1 species